rnacentral:tRNA from 1 species
CGUUAGUCAAGCGGUUAAGACGACGGCCUCUCACGCCGUAAACGUGGGUUCGAUUCCCGCACG